rnacentral:rRNA from 1 species
GACGAACGCUGGCGGCGUGCCUAAUACAUGCAAGUAGAACGCUGAAGGAGGAGCUUGCUUCUCUGGAUGAGUUGCGAACGGGUGAGUAACGCGUAGGUAACCUGCCUGGUAGCGGGGGAUAACUAUUGGAAACGAUAGCUAAUACCGCAUAAUAGCAGUUGUUGCAUGACAACUGUUUGAAAGGUGCAAUUGCACCACUACCAGAUGGACCUGCGUUGUAUUAGCUAGUUGGUGGGGUAACGGCUCACCAAGGCGACGAUACAUACCCGACCUGCGAGGGUGGUCGGCCACACUGGGACUGGGACACGGCCCAGACUCCUACGGGAGGCAGCAGUAGGGAAUCUUCGGCAAUGGACGGAAGUCUGACCGAGCAACGCCGCGUGAGUGAAGAAGGUUUUCGGAUCGUAAAGCUCUGUUGUAAGAGAAGAACGAGUGUGAGAGUGGAAAGUUCACACUGUGACGGUAUCUUACCAGAAAGGGACGGCUAACUACGUG